rnacentral:rRNA from 1 species
GACGAACGCUGGCGGCGUGCUUAACACAUGCAAGUCGAGCGGUAAGGCCCUUUCGGGGGUACACGAGCGGCGAACGGGUGAGUAACACGUGGGUGACCUGCCCUCAGCUCUGGGAUAAGCCUGGGAAACCGGGUCUAAUACCGGAUAUGACUCCAUGACGCAUGUUGUGGGGUGGAAAGCCUUGUGCGGCUGAGGAUGGGCCCGCGGCCUAUCAGCUUGUUGGUGGGGUGANGGCCUACCAAGGCGACGACGGGUAGCCGGCCUGAGAGGGCGACCGGCCACACUGGGACUGAGACACGGCCCAGACCCCUACGGGAGGCAGCAGUGGGGAAGUCUUGCGCAAUGGGCGGAAAGACCUGACGCAGCGACGCCGCGUGAGGGA